CCUGACUGCUCACGUCACGCGGUGCCCCAGCCAACAUGGCUGCGCCCAGGGCAGGGCGAGCUGUCCUGAGCUGCCGCCGCUGGGUUCUGGUGCUGGGCUUGGCGCUGUGCUCACUUCCCGGGACGGCUGCGAGCUCCUCCUUUUCCAACACGGCGGCCUCCAAGGGGACGUGCGGCUGCAGCUCGGGCCGAGGGAGCGGCGGGGAGGCGGCCGCGGCGGCGGCCCGGAGGUAUUCUCCGGAGGCCAAUGCCCCAAGUCCGGCCGUGGGGCCGGUCACCCGCAAGGGGCCAGCUGCGCACAGUCAGAUGGCCCUUAUUCCAACAGGAAUGUUCACAAUGGGUACUGAUGAACCUGAAAUACAGCAAGAUGGGGAAUGGCCUGCUAGAAAAGUCCAUGUUAGCCAGUUUUAUAUGGAUCGGUAUGAGGUCAGCAAUGUGGAGUUUGAGAAAUUUGUAAAUGCCACUGGCUAUGUUACAGAGGCAGAGAAAUUUGGAGACUCCUUUGUGUUUGAGGGUAUGUUGAGCGAACAAGUGAAGACUGAAAUCCAGCAAGCAGUUGCAGCUGCUCCCUGGUGGAUGCCUGUUAAAGGAGCUAAUUGGAGGCAACCUGAGGGACCAGAUUCUAGUAUCUCAAAGAGAAUGGAUCACCCAGUUCUUCAUGUCUCCUGGAAUGAUGCUGUAGCGUAUUGCACAUGGGCGGGAAAACGAUUACCCACAGAAGCUGAAUGGGAGUACAGCUGUCGAGGGGGCCUUGAGAAUAGACUUUUCCCAUGGGGCAAUAAGCUUCAGCCAAAAGGUCAGCACUAUGCCAAUAUCUGGCAGGGAGAAUUCCCAAUAAGCAAUACUGGAGAGGAUGGAUACAAAGGAACUGCACCAGUUACAGCGUUUCCUCCAAAUGGCUAUGGCUUAUACAACAUAGUGGGAAAUGCCUGGGAGUGGACAUCUGACUGGUGGGCUGUUCAUCAUUCUGCGGGUGAAACUCGCAACCCAAAAGGGCCCUCAUCAGGGACUGACAGAGUGAAGAAAGGUGGAUCCUAUAUGUGCCAUAAGAAUAACACAAAUGUUAUCUACAUUGGAAACAACUGACUUGGGACUGUGUGUGUGUGGUAAUCCUUGCAUCUGCUCCGUUGACUAUAACCAUUCCUGACUGUCACCACUGAAGAUUCAAAUCUGUCAUACACAGAACAGUCCUAUUGCUACAGGUAUCGCUGUGCAGCCCGCAGUCAAAACACUCCUGAUAGUUCUGCUUCAAACCUGGGAUUCCGUUGUGCAGCAGACACUCUGCCAGCUUUACAGUGACAGAACUUGUUGGUGCUUUGAAGCCACAGGGGACUCAAAAUUUCACUCCAGCACAAGGAGUUUUGUGGAGCUCCAGCCUGCUGAGAUGUUCUGCAGUUACCAGUCUCUAGUGAGACAAAACAAGAUAUCCAGCUAAUUAAAAAGACAUCGUUGGAGAAAAUCACCUUCCAAAAUAAGUCAAUGCUAGUCAGAGACAUUUAAUUCUAUAACCAAUCUUUAGAGAAGUUGGGUUGAGUUCCCAUAUCAACUGUGUAGGUGAAAAUAUGGUGUUAAUGCUAUUGAUUUCAUUAGAAAUAUUCCAGAUUUACACCAGCAUAGAACUAACCAGAACCUUCCUGACUGCAUUUUGAAAAGGAUAUUUUGUUUCAGAUACUAUUUUUAUCUCCUCUAGAGAAGAUGCUCUUCAGUACUGAGUAAGUAUUUUAUGAUGGAUUUACCUAAGUGAUCCAAACCCCUCAAGUAGGCCCUACAAACUUUGGGAGGAGUUAAAGGAAAAUUUGAGCUUUUGUAGUAUGGUAUUUACUUGUUAUAUCCUGAGUAAUAUAGGAAACCUAUUGUCAAUUAUAACUGAGGGUCAUGGACGGAAGAAAACCAUUCCACUUUAUCUAUUACCCUAUAUUGGCAAUUGGCUAUGCUUUUGUAGAUUUACAUUUGUAAAAAUGUAGUGUAGCUCUUCUACCGCAUUCCCUUUGCACGUGAACAUUGUGUUCAGAAAAGACCCUUGCCCAGGUGAGUAGUAACUUUCUCCCUUUUUAGAAAAUGGCAGCUUUUAUUAGAAUAGGGAUGAUAGUCCCAUAAAGGAUUGAACAUUUAUUGCCUUUACACUGGAAACUUGUAGCGAUAGAAACACACCAGAGAUUUCCUUUAACGUCUAUCUAACAUUGGGUAGAUUUAUUUGGGGGGCUUUAAGUUAUUUAUUCAAACUAGUGAUUUUAAAAUUGUCUUUGACGGUGAAUGGCUCUUAUAUGAAAGCUUGCAUGAAAAGACAGGAAAUUGGAACUGAAUGGAAAGUUUCUCAUAGGCUUCAUUGGGAAAACCUUGAGGUUGUCCUUAAAUAAGUUUCAAAAUGUAUUGAAAAGCUCCAUGUAGUUGUGGCUGGUAAAUUAACUCAGUCAGCUUGGGCUUUUCAUGUUAAAAUACACUUGAAUCUUUCUUCUCUAAUGUGCUUCACUCUUACCAGCACAGUGCUGCUGACUCUGGGACCCAGCCGUAGGAGCAGAUGGAAAAGUUUCCAUGUCAACCACUUACUCUUUAUUCUAACUUUAAUCUAAUCAAGAAACUUUCUGUUUGCUGAAUAUUAAGAAGCUCCUAACCUGAAUGUGCCAAUCCUUUAGGCAUGGGUUCUAUUCCCAGCUGUUCCACUGACUCAGUGAUCUAGGACAAGUCUUGUGCCUCAGUCUCCCCAUCUAUACAAAGGCACGUAAGCCUGAUUCCCAUUUUAAAGUGCUUUGAGAUCUAUGAAUAAGAUGGGGUAAGUGUGUUUGUAAGAGCAAUAUUUUGUAUUCAUAUUAUUCACUUGUUUCCAGCACUUCUUGCCUAUAAUUUUGAUAAGUAGGCAUUAAAAUACAAAGACAUUAGUUGCCAACUUCUGCCCUGGGAUAGUGAGUUUCCCACCAAAUGGAAAGCCACUACAGAGGGGUAUUCCUAUGGGAGUGACCAUGCAGUGCACCCACCCCAGGCCCCAUUGGCAUAGGAACUAAAGUUACACUUGCACGACAGACUAAAAUUCAGCGAAAGCCAUUAAAGUAUAAACAUUUGCCAAUGCAAAGUGUUAAAACAUAUCAUGUAAUCAUAGGAAAAAGCUGUGGUAUCUCAAGGAACUGUUGGGAAAGACUGACUGACCAGUUGUAUAUACUAAACACAGUGCUCACAAUAGUGCACCCACUGAAACAAAUGGGAGGAAAAAUGCUGUCCACCUUAGUUUAAACUUCCUGCGCUAUCAUAGGGACAUGUCUGCCUUUGUGGAAGGGAGUAUGUGAAAAUUCUUUGUUUUGAGGCAUUGUCAUUGUUGAACACCUCUUUAUUUAUAUACAAUAUAAAAAAGUGUCUGGUUCUGAAGCUUUGAAAAAUCAUUGGAAUUUCUGUCUCUGAAUGGCAGCUUCAGAGUAAUGCUUGUUCAGAAGUGGGGCAUGUCUGUCAAGAUUUACUGUCCCAACGGGCAUAGGUGUAAACUUCCUUCUGGUGGUCUUUCAUUCUGAUGGCUUAACUUGUUUGUUUCAUAUAAACGCAUUAGCUUGAACUAUUCCCACUUUUUUUUACACUUUUACAGCAAUCGAUCAGAACUUUAAUAAAAUGAUUAAACUGAACGUUCUGUAAACAACUGAGGUUUUUGAAUUACUAUUCAUCUCACUUCACUCUUCAGCCAUCUGCGAAGCAUGUGGUUUGUCACUGGGCAAAUCCGAUAUCCCUCUAGCAGUGUUCAGAGCAACAAGGUAAACUUCCUUCCCCUUUAUUCUACCAAAAGAGAACAAUGCCAUAUUUAAAACUUUUUUAUGCUGGAAGAUGGAAAGUGGGAAAACUUUCUUGGAUUACUCUGAUCUGUAUUAUGGAAAUGUUAAACAACUACCUAGGCACAAAUAAUAGGUGAGAUGUUUAAAGUACUGUACAAUAUUAAGGCAUCUAAUUUAAAACUAAUAAAAAAUUAAGAAUA